CCCUCGGUUCUUAUACAAAUAAAUCAAAUAUAUCCGGUCGUCUCACGAGGCCCACCCUAUCUGUUAGUGAACUGGAGUUUCAUCUGGAGCUACUCAACAAUAACACAAACAAAAUCCAGCCUUCGUGCUCUCUACAAAAACGNNNNNGCUCGCACACCACAAGCAAUAGAGGCUUGCUAUGAUCAUAAUAAGUUUCAAUGAUUGGUGCGAUUCCUUUCUAGUGAACUUUAAGGAUUUUACCCUGUUGAUGUAAAUAAAGCCUCCAAUUAAGCAAGUGCAUAGGAAGCCAACCACAACGACAGCAUCUGGAUUGAUGGGUGCUUGAUUCUUCCACCAACCAGUGCUCAAUAUCCAGGUAUACACUGAUGAAUGUCCAUUUUCCUCAAACAAGUG
rnacentral:misc_RNA from 1 species